GGGACACGUGGUAUCCUGUCUGAAUAUGGGGGGACCAUCCUCCAAGGCUAAAUACUCCUGACUGACCGAUAGUGAACCAGUACCGUGAGGGAAAGGCGAAAAGAACCCCGGCGAGGGGAGUGAAAAAGAACCUGAAACCGUGUACGUACAAGCAGUGGGAGCACCUUCGGGUGUGACUGCGUACCUUUUGUAUAAUGGGUCAGCGACUUAUAUUCUGUAGCAAGGUUAACCGUAUAGGGGAGCCGCAGGGAAACCGAGUCUUAACUGGGCGUUAAGUUGCAGGGUAUAGACCCGAAACCCGGUGAUCUAGCCAUGGGCAGGUUGAAGGUUGGGUAACACUAACUGGAGGACCGAACCGACUAAUGUUGAAAAAUUAGCGGAUGACUUGUGGCUGGGGGUGAAAGGCCAAUCAAACCGGGAGAUAGCUGGUUCUCCCCGAAAGCUAUUUAGGUAGCGCCUCGUGAAUUCAUCUUCGGGGGUAGAGCACUGUUUCGGCUAGGGGGUCAUCCCGACUUACCAACCCGAUGCAAACUACGAAUACCGAAGAAUGUUAUCACGGGAGACACACGGCGGGUGCUAACGUCCGUCGUGAAGAGGGAAACAACCCAGACCGCCAGCUAAGGUCCCAAAGUCAUGGUUAAGUGGGAAACGAUGUGGGAAG
rnacentral:rRNA from 1 species